AUUGAACGCUGGCGGCAGGCCUAACACAUGCAAGUCGAGCGAGCGGCGGACGGGCGAGUAAUGUAUGGGGACUGCCCGAUAGAGGGGGAUAACUACUGGAAACGGUGGCUAAUACCGCAUACUAUCGGAUAACCCAUAGGGGAUUAGCUAAGCGGUGGGGUAAGGGCUCACCUAGGCGACGCUCACUAGCUGGUCUGAGAGGCUGAUCAGCCACACUGGGACUGAGACACGGCCCAGACUCCUACGGAGGCAGCAGUUGGGAAUAUUGCACAAUGGGCGCAAGCCUGAGGCAGCCAUGCCGCGUGUAUGAAGAAGGCCUUAGGGUUGUAAAGGACUUUCAGCGGGGAGGCGUUACCCGCAGAAGAAGCACCGGCUAACUCCGUGCCAGCAGCCGCGGUAAUAC
rnacentral:rRNA from 1 species